rnacentral:rRNA from 1 species
GACGAACGCUGGCGGCGUGCUUAACACAUGCAAGUCGAACGGAAAGGCCCUGCUUUUGUGGGGUGCUCGAGUGGCGAACGGGUGAGUAACACGUGAGUAACCUGCCCUUGACUUUGGGAUAACUUCAGGAAACUGGGGCUAAUACCGGAUAGGAGCUCCUGCUGCAUGGUGGGGGUUGGAAAGUUUCGGCGGUUGGGGAUGGACUCGCGGCUUAUCAGCUUGUUGGUGGGGUAGUGGCUUACCAAGGCUUUGACGGGUAGCCGGCCUGAGAGGGUGACCGGCCCAAUGGGGAGUGGGAUACGGCCCAGACGCCUACGGGGGGCAGCAGGGGGGAAUUUUGCACAAGGGGCGGAAGCCUGAGGCAGAAACGCCGGGUGCGGGAUGACGGCCUUCGGGUUGUAAACCCCUUUCGCCUGGGACGAAGGGUGAGUGGCGGUAAUGGGUAAAGAAGCACCGGCUACCUACGU